AAGAUGCUGAUGAAAUUGUCCCAAAGGUGAUUUCUGCUGCCCAAAGUGUUGAAAUUGUUGAAGGAAAUGGAGGACCAGGAACCAUUAAGAAGUUAUCCAUUGUUGAAGGUAAUUAAGAUCACAUACUAUGUACAAAUAUAUAAUACUUAACAUCAAAUGAUACAUAGUGUUCGCGUAAAAUUGUUUUGCACCGACAACCGAUCAAUGUUUGUCGGUACAACAAAGAAUUGGGUUACUACCUUUUAUUUGAAAAUUGACAAACAUGAUGUGACAAAUUAAAGAGUUGUAAUUGAUUAAAUGAUACAUAGUUUUAAUAAUUUGAUUAAAUGAUUCACAAAUAAGUUAAGUUAAAUUCAUUAUUACCAAAAAAACAAAGUUAAAUUCAAGUGUAGUAAAAAAAAAAUUAUUCAAUUCUAUUUGGAUAGUCAUUGUAGAAUUUUAAAAUAUAAUCUUGAGAAAUAAAGGAGACAAUACAUAAGCUUGUACCAAGGGCAUGUCUAAUAAUUAUGGACCUUCAAAAAAAAAAUGAUUCAGGUGAUUCAGGACACUUGGUAAAGUUCAAAACGAUCUUUAACCGAAAGAGUUUUUAGUCAAACUAUACUUAUAUUGAAAAAAGAACUAUAUAAAUAAGGAAAAUGUUAACAAGUGUCCUUAAGGUAUUGUUUAAGCAUCCAAAAUUAGUAGUUUUUACUUUGAAAAUUGUGUAAUUAUGACUUGUAUAUAUGUUUGACUUGUAUUUUCAAGACAAACUUUUUUUUUGUGGAUUCCUUUAACAAUGUCCUUAAGACACUUGUUAACAAGACCAUGUAAAUAAUUAUAAUGGUUAUAUUGCAGAUGGCAAAACCAACUUUGUGCUACACAAAUUAGAUGCAGUAGAUGAGGCAAACUAUGGAUAUAACUACAGCUUAGUAGGAGGAACAGGGUUGGAUGAAAGUUUAGAGAAAGUUGAAUUCGAGACAAAUAUUGUUGCUGGGUCUGAUGGUGGAUCCAUUGUUAAGAUUUCAGUGAAAUAUCACACCAAAGGUGAUGCAGUUCUAUCUGAUGCAGUACGUGAGGAGACUAAGGCCAAAGGAACUGGUCUUAUCAAGGCUAUUGAGGGCUACGUCUUGGCAAACCCUAAUUACUAGCCAAUUAAACCCUAUUGAGGACUUUAAUUUGGGUUGUGUUGUUUUAUGCGAAUAAUAAUUAAAGUUUAUGAUGUAGUUGAAUGUGUGUUGAGUAUACAUCAAGGUCUUUGGUUCGUACAUGUGUGUUGGCUAUGUUGGAUGUUGUGAGGUUUGAGUGUUAUUUUGGGUGUUUAAAAACAAAAACCUAUGUUGUGUUGGUGAUAAGGUUUUGCACCAUUUGUAUUCUGCAAUAAAUAAUGCAAAAGAAUUUUAUAGCACUUUCGGUUAUUUGAAUUUAAUUUAGGAUCACAUCAAACUAACAGUGCAUAUGACUUUCGAUUGGUAAUUUUAACCAAAGCUGUCUACAAUUAUUUAAAUAGUUUGGUUGAGUUUUGUCUUGAAUUGAUUUGAGCAAUUUAAAGUAAGUGAAUCAUAUUUUGAAAGAGUCAUCAUGACAAAUUUGAUUUUUAAAACAAAACCCCCAGUGUGUAAAAUAAGCAUGAUGAUGAGGCGGGUGAUGAUGAGUUUUACCUUCCCCAUCCUUAUACCCUACUCUCAUAUACUUACCUGCCACUUUACCUAUAUCUAAUGAGGGUGAGAAGUCGAACCCCAUCACUGUCUCCGACGGGUUUAGGUAUCCCCGCGUCAUCUCCGUUGUGGAUAAUUUUUUUUAAUGAAAAAAGUGUUUUUCUACUUCAGGCGCAAUGUUGUAAUACAUUAUCCUACAAAGAGAUGAUGACGAUCGAUAACUACGUUGAUGGAGAAGUGAGAGACCGAGAUUGAGAAGUGAGAAUCAUCUGAGAGACUAAGACUCUGACUAUGUGAGGAGAAUAAAGAGAACUCUGAGAAGUGAGUGUCAUCUGAGAGACUAAGUUUUGAUUGUGUGAGUGAAAUGAUUUAGGGUUUGAGUUUCUAUUUAUAUAAAAUGGAUAAUAAAUUGAUUUUCUACAUGUGGGGCGGGUUUGAGUGUGGGUUCGGGGUGAAUACAUAUAUCCUCGUUACCUAUCCAGUAUCCAUGUUUUGAAUCAUGGAAAAUUCAAACUCAUACCCAAAUCCAAUAAAAGCAGAGAAAAUCCGUCAAAUUAGAUUUGUUUCAAAUGGGUACCCGCAGAUAUGCAUUUUGUUGUCUUACCUCAAAAUCACUAUUUAGUAUAGAAAAGUUAACUUGUAACUAAUGUACAACUUAAAGUUAAGAAGUUAAAUGCAAAAUUAUAUUUAGAAAUUGCGCAUUUCUUAUCCUAAAGUUUCUUCUUUUUCAAGGGUAAUUCCUUGAGAGUUUAAAAACUAAAUUUUAAUUCAAUACAAAAAUUUUGUUUUGAUUUCAUUUUUAGAUCGUUAAUUUGUGUCCUUGGUAUACAAAUUAACCUAACUCAUUGAGUAUGUGUUUGUUUUUUCUUAAAAAGAGUAUGUGUUUAGCUGUAAAAUAACAUUAAACAUGAGUCGUCCAACCUGACACUCUAAUUAGUAGCUUCUGAACCUCAUGAUUAAAUGGUAACUCACAUUGGCUGUGAACUAACUCUAUCCCAAAUUGGUGCUUAAUACGCUAAUUUAGGGAUAUUUGUGGUGCAGUUUGAAUUAGUUUUGAUGCAAAUAGUCAUCAUAUUUAAAAUAAAAAUCGCAUGCGGAAAAUAUAGGGUAAAAUAUAACGUUUAAUGGAAAAUAUAGCAUGAAUAUAUAUUAAAAAAUAAUAUUACAGAAUAAAAAUUAUCAAUUAUAUUCUAAACAUAGGAAGAAGUAAUACUAUACAAUAAAUUAAUGCAAUAUAUAAAAAAAAAUAAAAAAUAAAACCGAGAAGCUAUAUAUUAAUGCAAUACACACACUAAUAAAAUAAUAAAUAAGUAUUAAAAUUUACAAAACAACAUCCAAAAAAAAUCAAUUUUUUUGUUGUUGUUUUUUUUGGAUUAGUGUACGGUUUUAUUUUGGAUGCGUUUGAAUUUGAAUAACCACAUGCCUACUAGGCUAACUGUGUAUAUUAUUUAGGAAAUGUCAUAAAAGGUACUCCCUCAAUCUUAAAUAAUUAUCAUUAUUUAACUUUCAUCCAUAUCAAUGUACAAUUUUAACUAUUAAUAUUCUUAGUUAUUUAUUAAUAAAAGUUGUAAAAAAUUGAUAUUUUAAAAAUAUUCGUUGAGAUAAAUUGAACAAUAUUUUAUUUACUAACAUUUUAUUUACAAAUAUGAUCAAAGUAGAUUAUGUGAAUCGUACGUAUGGUCAAACUAUGACAAUAAUUUUGAAAUAGAUGGAGUAAUUUUGAAAAUAGAAAAGAGAAAUGUUAGCUAGUGCCUUCCGGUGCACUAGCUAUAUGAAAAACGUGUGGAGUAAUUUUGAAACCAAUAUAGAAAAUUGUGUUGAGAAGUAUGAAAAAGUUGUACGUUCAACUUUUUAAAAGUCAAAAAUUUAUUAUUUUUAUAAAAAAAAAAAUCUACUUCUAAUUUUUUUAACUAAUGCUCCAUAAUCAAUAGUUAGCAUGACUGGAUAAAAAAUGACAUAUCAUAUCAUACUAACAAAUGUUCUAAAGUUACAUUGUUAUGGACAUUUGUUAGCAUUUUUUACUUUUAUUAAAAAAAUAGGCAUUUCACACGGUUACUUUUGGCUUUAUCACAUUUUGCGUUCACAUAUCUUUGUAAAUAAAUAUGCCUUAUAUUGAUCAGGAGUAAAUUGGAACACAACUAGCAUCUCUCCAUUUCUCUCUAUCAUCAUGUGUAUAUCACAAUUUUUUGAAGAAGUUAAAGAAAUCAUGUUAAAAAUCAAAUAAAGCUCCUUUAACAUAUGGUGCGUCAAAGCAACCUAAUAAUCCAAACAGCUCACAUUACAACAUGUCGUAACAACCCAACAAAAAAUUAGAAAACUAUCUUUAAGCAAAACAAAGGAUUUUGCCUCGAAAACACGUGAUAUAAUUUUAACCACCAAUAAAUUUGUAGUUUAAUUUUUUCACUCAGAGAUUGAAGUUGAUUACUCUUCUGUUGAAAGAUCCUAACAUUUCUUUCUUUGAAAUGACGCAAAGCACUGAAAAGUCGAAAGAAGUUCUCCUUGGCGAAUCCCUUUUUUCAACUUAAACUCAUUAGUAAGGCUACCAUUCACAAGUACCGAAGUCGUUGCUGUUGAGACACAUUCUAAAAUCCAUUGACUCCAGCGCUAAGGGUAAUUCAGUUUGGUCAUCAAAUCUCCCAAAUACCUCCAAUGAACUGAGUCAUAGGUUUUUUUGAAAUCAACCUUAAAAAGAAUAAGUUCUUUCUUAGAUUUACACGCAUCACCCUUUAACUCAUUGGCUAUCAGAAUUGCAUCUAAAAUUUGUCUACCUUUUACAAAAGCAAACUAAGAUUCUGAAACACCAUUACUAACCACCUUCCUCAAUCUAUUAGCAAGAACUUUUGACAAAAUUUUAUACACCCUCCGUCCCUUAAUGUAGGCACCUAUUGCCUUUUCACAUUUCUUAAGAAAUGUUGUCAGUGUAAUUAAUGUGUUUGUUUUGUGUGUUAAUAAUUAUCCUUGGUUUGUAUGUAUUAAAUUUGACUUUUCAUAUUUCAAGACAAGUUAGUAGUAUUAAUUAGGGAUAUGUUUAGGAAAAAAUUAAUAAACGCAUCUAGUAAUUUGAAAUGGAAUUUAAAUUUAGAGAAAAAAAUAAAAUCAAACGGAAACUUAGAUAUAAGGACGGGGGAGUAUAAGCUACCAACCAAAGAAAUAGGUUGAAAAUAUGCCAACUUCUAAAGACUCUUAGCUUUGGGAAUCGAAGUAAUAAAAGUAUUUAUGUCCUUUGUUAACUUACCAUUGUGAUGAAACUCAACAAACAAAUUCUUUGAUAAAACCAAUAUUAAUCUCAUCUUGCUCAGGACUCUUAUAACUAUCACAAUCUCACACUCAUGCCUCUAUCUCUUCCAACAAAAAAGGUAUAAUAAGAUCAGCCACAUCCUUCAUACUAAUAGUUUUAAAAGAAAGAUCCCCUAACCCAGGUCUGGACUCCAUUGCAACUUUAAAAUUAGAUUGAAAAUGUUGAAAAGCCACACUCCUCGCCCCUUCCACACCCUUAAUCUGAACACCUUUAACAUUAAUAGAAAUAAUCACAGUUGACCCGUCUCCUAGAAGACACCACCCCAUGGAAAAAAAAAAAAAAAACGAAUUAGCACCACCCUUCUUUAACCAAGUCGAUCUAGAUUUUUGCCACUGAAUACUAAAAUGUAAUUUAUAUAAAGCCACAACAUCUGCUAAUAGAAAUCAAAGAGAGAAAUCAACAUAUCAAACAAAACGAAACCGAAGAACCAAUGCAAAUUGAACUAAAUAACCAACCUAAAUCAAACCACCAUUAAUCAAAUCAUCCUUAUCAAAUCCACCAAUCAAUCACAAUACUAACAAUUCCAUCGUGUGAAGAACAAUGAAUUCAAAUGGAGAAAAACUAAUGGAUAUCAAAAUAAAUCCAUAGAGAACAACCGUGACAAUUGCUUAACAAAUAGUAAUUCAACUAAAAAGAAAAGUCCUAAUCCAACAAAAACCAACACAUUAAUAUCCAAGUGCCAUCAGGACUCAACUGAAUCUUUGAAUCAAAAAAAUAAUAGAUAGCUAAAACAAUAAAUCUUAUAGUUUACAAACAAAUCAAAAUGCAAAACAGAUUCCUAAUUUUUUUUUUUUUUUUUUUGAAAAAUUAACAACGGAAUAGCCGUGAAUCAUAUAAGGAGGGUCAAAACAUGCUCUUGAUACCAUGUUAACAAUAUUAGGUUUAGAGCUCUUAUACAUGGAGCAUCGUAGGUGACAUACAAACUUUCACGGUGUGAUGUGAAAUUACUAAAAUACCCCUGUCACAUGGGGGUAUACAUGAGAGGUACAUAAAAAAGGAUGUCUAUCUAUCUUUUUUCAUAGAUUUAAUAAAAAAGGGAGAAUAACACAAAACAACUAGAAUUUUAUAAAAUGUAGAUGACUUAACAUUACAAAAGGUUAACAUAAACCUAAUGGAUUACUAACUUAAUAAUAGUUUAAGUUAAAAACUUUAUUAUCUAACCAAUUUUAUCUACUUCCAAUAUAUCACCUACGAAUUUUCUAUUUUUGAAUCCCGUCUACACUCUGAGUCAUGGAAUACUGCGAGACUAUUUCAUAUUGAUUUUCGUAACCCAAUUCAAGAUAACACAAAGAGGGUUGACCCAAUCACAAUCACCAAUAAAUAAAUGAGCUUUUGUCAAAAAAAGACGACCUGAUCAAUGAGCUAUUUUUCAACAAAAUAAAGUGAGAUUUACGAACAAGCCACAAGGUAUGUCCUACCAAAGUUCUAUAAAUACCAUUCCUCACCAUCUCAUAAACCCACAUCACAAGCGAAAUUAGUUGUAUUCAUAUUAUACAUUUCUCUUUUCAUUUUCUUCUUGUAUAUUGAUCCUUUUUAACUAUCUUGAUAUAUAUCAUGGGUGUUUUUACUUUCAACGAUGAACAUGUCUCAACCGUGGCUCCAGCUAAACUCUACAAAGCUCUUGCAAAAGAUGCUGAUGAAAUAGUCCCAAAGGUGAUUUCUGCUGCCCAAAGUGUUGAAAUUGUUGAAGGAAAUGGUGGACCUGGCACCAUCAAAAAGUUAUCCAUGUCUGAAGGUAAUUCAUUAAGAGCAUUUACUAUAUCCCUGUCAAAAAAAUACAACUUUAUUAAUUAGUAAUUCAAUAGACAUGUUAAGAAAUCAUAUACUCACUUUUAUUUUUGAAUUAGAUUUUGAGUGUUGAAGGAGACCAAUGAUAAUACAUAAACUGAGUCUAUAUAUAAAUAAUAAGCUUCAAGAAACAACUAAUUUCCAUGGAAAAAGAAUAUAUAAGAUACUUCAUGCAAGAUUCAAGAGAACCACUAAACUGGAGACAGGGCCGGCCUAAGGACCAAACAACCUAAACAAGGGUUUUAGGCUUCAAAACUUUUGGUAAAAAAAAAGGUCUUUAAAAAAUUAAUUUGGUCAUAAGUAUAUUAUAUGACAGAUAAAUUACAGACAUUUGAAUAGCUUAACUGAUCAAAAAGGUUUUAAUUACUCAUGGUCAUGAAUUCAAAUUUUGGUCUCCACGCAAUUGCUUUUAUAUAAAUAUUCUAUUAAAAAAAUAAUUUCAAAGGCCACAUUAAAUUUUUUGAUUUAAGCCUCUUAAUCUGUUGGGUCGGCCAUGGCAGGAGAUCCAACUAUUUGUAUAAACUACAGUCGUUGAAAUGUAACUAUUGUGAGAGUGUUGCUUGUUUUCAUUAUAUAUAGUAGUUAUAUAUUCAAAUGAAAUGAAUGAUCAAAUUAACACUAAAAUUUAGUUAAAAUCAUUUCAAAUAUCAAUAUAUUAUUGUCAAGAUUAAAUUAUGUAAUUUUAUAUGAUUUCAACCUAAUGGUAAAGAGUGGUUAUAAUAUAUCCAGAUUAAUUGUAAAUAGACUCGUAUUCAAUAAUUAUAGUAAUUAAGAUCAACUUUUUAAUCAGCCCAAUAAAAUGUGUGGUCUACAACUAUAAGAUUCACACAAUAUUAUAGUAAAAUAGACUUAACAAUCAAGUGAUUAAAUAUAUCCAGUUACAUUAGAAUUGAUCUAUGACAAAAACAAUUUUUAGUCGAACUUUACUUUCAUUUUGAGGGAACCAACUUAUAUAAAUUAUGAUGGUUGUAUUGUAGGUGGCAAAACCGACUAUGUGCUACACAAAUUAGAAGCAAUGGAUGAAGCAAACUUGGGAUACAACUAUAGCAUUGUAGGAGGAACAGGGUUGGAUGAAAGUUUAGAAAAAGUUGAAUUCGAGACAAGUAUUGUGGCUGGCUCUGAUGGUGGAUCCAUUGUUAAGAUUUCAGUGAAAUACCACACCAAAGGUGAUGCAACUCUAUCUGAUGCAGUGCGUGAUGAAACUAAGACCAAAGGAACUGGACUUAUCAAGGCCAUUGAGGGAUACGUUUUGGCAAACCCUAAUUAUUAAGUAAAAUGUAUACUUGGUUGUGUUGUGUCAUACCAAUAAUAAUUGAAGUUUAUGAUAUGGUUGUUUGAUUUAUACAUCACGAUUUCUAGCUUAUACAUGUGUGUGGGCUUUGUUGUUUAAUUACAAAAAUCUAUGUGUUGAUGUUGAGGUUUUGUACCAUCUAUAAUUCUGUAAUAAAUAAUGAAGAAUUUUCUAGCACUUUUCAUUCGGUAUUUUAACUUUAUAUGCCUUGACCAUUAUUGGUACACCAAUUUCCUUUCCUCUUGUUAUCCUUUUUUUUUCUUUCUUUGGAUUUAUUUUUGACUUGUAACACAUAAAAACUCAACUCAUCACUAGCAUGCUUUGAAUUUUACUAUGGCUGAGAAAAAGUAAAAACAUAAUGUGAGUAUGAUAGAGAAAGUUGUCAUAUAAUGGUUAUAUAAAUAUUAUUUCUCUAUCAUAAAUGUAAAGUGGAAGAUAUUGAAUUGAGAGUGAUGAAAUUUGUAUGGGUCUUGUUAACGAGUGCCCCCGAGGGCACUCUUUAAGCAUACUAAAUUAGAAAAUUAUUCUUUAAAAAAUUCAAAUAAUUCAAUUUCCAAUGCAUUGAAUACAUAACUUUUCAUAAAAAGUUACUAUUUAAGACCCUUAAAGAGUGUCCCCAGGGCACUAGUUAACAUUUCUGAAUUAUAGUAUUAAUUAAGAUGUAUAAUUGAAAAAAGAUAGUUAAUUAAUAUUAUAUUAAAAAGUGAAAUUGAUCAUUCAUUUUAGAUCUUUCUUCUUUUUUACAAAUAAAUUACUUAUUGUGGAACAUGAGGAGUAUCAUUUAUGCUCAAACUAAUCAUGCAAACUCUAAUAUAUAUAAACAAUUAUAAAUCAAAUAGACUUCAAUUUGAUAUUCCUUGCACUCGAAUAAUUUGGUAAGAGACAAAUUAAAUAAAGGAAUUUAAGUUUUUAUAAAUAAUCAACAUGUUAUAAGAUACAAUUGUUUGAAAAAGAAGAAUGGUGGUUUGCGGGUUAGGGUCUCUUAGUUAAUCAUCUAUUUCUGUUUCAUGUUUUUUUUUUUAAUAAUUUAUUUCUGUUUCAUGUUAUUUACCAACUUUAUAUUAGUUUUUUUGUAACUUUUUUAGUACAACUUGUGCUGAAAAGAUUUUGGUUAAUGAUAUUCUAUUUUGACAUGCUAAAAAAAAUGAUGAAUGUGAACCCGUUAAAUAAGUAAACGAUAUAGUACAUAGGUUGCAUAUUUUUAAACUUUGCCGUCUUUGAAUUGAAUUCUUGAUGCUUUUGUCCAAGUCAAAUUUCGAUUUUUAAUUCCUUUGCCCAUCUCUUCAUCGGCCAAAACUUCUGAGCUAAUAAGUCAUUGAUCUAUAUCUAUAUAUCUAUCUAAAGAAAAGUCAUUGAGUUGAAAAUAUCAUUUUGAAGAUAUGCUCUACAAUUUAUGGUUUUGAAAAAUAAUACACGCUCUCUAAUAUGGACAGCUUUGUUUUACACACUUAUUAAUCCUACUUAUUAAAGGUGCUACUAGCUAGUAACAGAUGGGAAACUUUUUGUUUCAAGUUUACCAAAUUUAUUUUUGGUGAUAACAUUUCUUGGAACAUAAAGAUGAGAAUUUUAUUCUAAAAUAUUUAGAAAAAAGAUGUUUGCUUAACAUUAUAGUAUUCUCAGAAACCAUAAAAAUAAGGAUUAUAAUAGAUAAUUACACAUGAAUCUAUUCCCAUGUUCAUGGGAACUUUAUUCCCACUAGUUUCUGUGAGAAAUUUUUUCCAUUCCCAUAAACAUUUUAUACCUGCGAAUAAAAUUUAAUAAAUUUGUAACAAACAUAGACAUGCAUAUGUCUAUUGUUUUAUUCCCAAAAAUCUACAUAGAUAACUUGAAAUAAACGUACCCUUAAAUUUAAUUAUUUACUGAAAAGAAAAAUGUGAUAAGGAAUCUGUUUCUACACCUCCAGGAAACACUAUCUCUUUUUCUUUUACGGAUCAAAGCUACAUUAUUUAGUUCCGUAAAUACAAUUUGAAUGGUAAAAAAUUUAAAGAUAUUUGAUUAAUUGGAGUGCGAGUUUGAAUAUAUAAUUCUUCACUUUAAAUGUUUUAAAGUAGAAUUGAUUUUUUUUGUAAAAUUAAUUCUACUCAAAGCUAAAUGUCGAGGCACGAAUAUUGUUCAAUUCACUUUUACUUAAAUAUAAUAAAACAUAUAUUAUUUUACAUUUAAUCAGAAUUAACUGUACAAAAUUAAUUCAUUUAGAAUCAAAUUUUUGUUGUGUAGCAUAAACAAACACACACUAAAUUACGUAGUUUGAUUUCUUUAUUAAAAAAAAGAAAGAGUAAAAUGAUUUCAUAUUUUGUCUUCAUUCCCAUUAGUUUGUUAUUGUCUUUGUAAUAAAAAAAUUAAAAAAAAUAUUUUUUUUCACUACGUAAAAACUUCACGUAGAUCUUUUUAUCAUUAAUUAAUUCGUGCGUGGUUAUGUACGACUGAGUCUCCUUAUUUUAGGAUAACGACUUCAAAUCUUUCAUACAUCAAUCUUCACCAAACUUUAACGGUGUGUUUGGAUGUAAGAUGAAAAUGAAAAGUGAUAAACAGAUGAGAAAGAGUGUGAGAAGAGAGAAAGCGAUAAGCAAUACAAUAGAUUUGUAGCAUUGAUUAGUAUAAAAAUGAGAAGAGAAAUAUAAAAAAAAAAAACAGAUAUUUUAUUCUUUGAAAAAGACAAAAACAACCUCCAUUAAAAAUAAAAUAGUAAAAUAUCGCUACUAUAUUAUGCUAUCUAAAGUUUGUCAUAAAAAUUAUCCUAUAUUAUAAUUUAUUAGUAUAAUAAUAAAUCUCAUGAAAUAAAGUGAAAAAUUAUUUACUUUUUCAUUGUGCUGUAAAAAAGUACUCCAUGUUAAUCAAUGUAUAAAGCAUUUAAAAGAAAGGGGCAUAAUUGGAAAUAUGCAAUAAAUAGGUUGCUCUAUUGGACUUUCAGGAUUGAAAAAACUGUCGGUACCAAAAAUUAAUUCGAACUUGAAUUAUUUCUUUUAACGCAACUUUAGAUGGCUCCUUGUGACUUUAAUUAAUAAUAUCAAACAUUUAUCUUGUAAAACAAGGUAGGACCUACCAAUAUGUCACUUAGUCAUGGAUUUCUAGACUAAUUCACAUUUUUAGAAUCGAAUUCAAGAUUGUCGACAUCACAAAGAGAAUUGACCCAAUAAAUAAAUAUCAAAAUACUUGAGCUAAAUAAAUAAGUGAGAUUUUGCAAACAAGGUAGGUCCUACCAAAGUUCUAUAAAUAGUAACCCUCAAUGUGUUAUAAACCGCAUCACAAACUAAAAUAGUAGCAUUAUUCAUAUUAUACAUUAAUUUCUCCUUUCAUUUACUUAUUGCAUAUUGAUCCUUUUUAUCUUGAUAUAUAUCAUGGGUUCUUUUGUUUUCAUUGAUGAACAUGUCUCAACUGUGGCUCCAGCUAAACUUUACAAAGCACUUGCAAAAGAUGCUGAUGAAAUCAUCCCAAAGGUGAUUCCAGCUGCUCAGAGUGUUGAAAUUGUUGAAGGAAAUGGAGGACCUGGCACCAUUAAGAAGUUAUCCAUGUCUGAAGGUAAUUGAUUAAGAUUAUAUAACAUUUACACAGUUGAAUUUUUGGGACUAGAGUUGAUUGUUGGUAUAUUGAAAUGAGAUUCAACAAUCAAGUAAUUAACGAUAUCCAGUUACGUUCAGAUUGAUCAAUGACUUAAACAAUUUUUAGUCAAACUUUAUUUAAAUUUGAGGGAACAAAACUUAUAUAAAUUAUGAUGGUUUAAUUGUAGGUGGUAAAACCGACUUUGUGCUACACAAAUUAGAAGCAAUGGAUGAGGCAAACUUGGGAUACAACUAUAGCAUAGUAGGAGGAACAGGAUUGGAUGAAAGUUUAGAGAAAGUUGAAUUUGAGACAAAUAUUGUGGCUGGAUCUGAUGGUGGAUCCAUUGUUAAGAUUUCAGUGAAAUAUCACACCAAAGGUGAUGCAGUUCUAUCUGAAGCUGUACGUGAGGAAACUAAGGCCAAAGGAACUGGACUUAUCAAGGCCAUUGAGGGUUAUGUUUUGGCAAACCCUAAUUACUAGCAAAUUAAACAUUUGCUUUAAUAAUAAUUAAAGACUAUGAUAUGGUUGAAUGUGUGUUGGAUAUUUUGAGGUUUGAGUGUUGUUUUGAGUGUUUAAAAACAAAAACCAAUGUUGUGUUGGUGAUGAGGUUUUGCACCAUCUGUAUUAUGUAAUAAAUAAUGCAAAAGAAUUUUCUAGCACUUUCCGUUAUUUUUUUAGAGGAAUAGCACUUUACAUCAUUUUAAUUUAAUUUAGGAUAACAUCAAACUAAUAGUGCAUGUGGUUUUCAAUUGGUUGAAUUUUAAACUAACACUGUCUACGGUUCGAUUAUUUAAACAGUUUGGUUGAGUUUUGUCUUGAAUUGAUUUGAGCAAAUUAAAGCAAUUGAAUCAUGUUUUGAAAGUCUCAUCAUCUUGUCCAAUAUGAUUUUUAAAACAAAACCUACUGGUUUGAUAAACCGUUAAAAGGGAAUUAGAAUACAUCGAAACAACACAAAUUUUUAUGAUACUAAAAUUAAAGAAGAUAAAAUUGUGAAUACCUAUAAAAGUCUCACAACACCCUAAUUUCUUUUUUCUUUUUUAAAACACAUGUAAGUUAAUAACAUAAAAGGAUAAAAAUACCUAUAAAUACGACAAAUAAAGCAACUAAAAUACUAUAUGCAGAGCCUACCCAACAUUUUGGUAGGCCUAAAGUGAAUUUUUUAUUGAUGCUUUUUAAAGUAAAAUAUUAAACUUUGUUGAACCCAAGGUUUGAACCAAAGAUGCAGAGGAUUUGAGACCUCUUCUUGACGAACUAAAGUUAUGCAAGCAUUUAUAAUUAUUUUAUCAUAUUAUGUAUUUAUAUCUAAAGUUGAUAUGGUCAUUGCGUAUCCACGAGGAUUUGAGGCCUCUUUGUUGCUGCCUACCCACGAGGUUUAAUUUGCAAAAUCAUGGAGUCCAUUGUCUGUCACUUGUGUGGUUUGUAAUAAUGAUUUGAAAGAUCAAAUGCACAUGUUUAUGCACUGUAAUUUUGCUACUGAUUGUUGGAAAGAAGUAAAUCUUUGGGCAAGAUAAAGUCAUACAUAACGUCAAAUGAUAGUUUUUCAUCCAUUAUCUUUGAUAUUCUUGUAGCUAUUUAUUGAGUGUUUGGCAUGCACGUAAUGCUUGUUUAUGGGAGGAAAAACUUGUCGAUGCACAUACAUCUUGCGUCCUGGAAUUAGAUACAGUUCGAGAUUACGUGUGGUGUCAUCGUCUCAACGAUGUUGUGCAGUCUGCUACUCCAACUUAGUCCAAACUGCAGGCAGAUUGGAUCAAGUCUUACAUCGAUUGUGUUCUUUUUGAAGCUGAUGGAAAAUUUAGUGUUGGUAUCUGUUUUCGAGACCGCCUUAUCCAAGAACUAUUCCAUCCUAUAGCAAGAAGCUUAGAUAUUAUCUUAUAAAGCACAUUACAUAAUGAAAUUACCCUCCAUUCCUUCAUACUAGUUGGUUUUGUCACAUUUAGGAAUAAGGCAAAUAUUAUUAUCAUUCAAUUAAUGUGCUCGGAAAAUAACCUAUAUAUAACCACAUAUUCACAACUUCAAAAAUUUCAUCACUACAAAGAUUCCAAAACCUUGAAAAAAAAAACCCGGAUUAAAACCAUGAAGACUCGAUGACUUAUUUGAAUGCAUUUGAAAUAACGUAAGUUUCAGCUCCUCUUUAGUAAACGGUGCUAAAAUAAGGUUGUUGUUUGCAUCGGUUAUCUUUGGUUGAAGGUGACAACUAGGCUACCCAUGAAAGAAUGAUGGGUAAUUUACCCUAACCAAUACACAUUAGCCACAUAAGCACAUAUUCAUGAACUAUCUUGACCCCACAAAUAAAUUGUUCAUUUUCAUUGGUUGGUAGGUAAAUUACCCACCAUUCUUCAAAAGUAAUUUAAAAAGAACCUUGAUGGAAUCAUACCAAUCAUUAAAAUUUUCAAUAUCACAAUCAUUUACCGCCUCCUUAAACCCAAGAUAAAUCCAAUUAGGAUGGGAAUGUUGGCCUCGAAUAUUCUCUUGAGAUAAAAUAUCAUUAAAAUUUCUUAUGAUACACCAAGGCAUAUGAGACAUGUCCCUCAACUCUCUGAGACAUGUCCCUCAACUCUCUGAGCAUAUUCCAAGAAUCUCUUCUUCGACCUCCUUUUGGGUAACCAUAAAAAUCAGUUAACAUUGAUUCUCUUUUUAUUGUAUCUUCCACAAUUAAAUUGAUAUUGUUUAUAGAGUAAUUAAGAAUUUUACACAAGCUAUUAACUUUUCAUAUCACUGCUAUCUAGGGGUGGGAUUAGGUCGAGUCGGGCCAAACUUUACUUAAAUAGGUCAGAUCUAAUUUAAAAAGUUAAAGCCUAGGCGACCUAUUAGCUUGUCAAAGACUUUAUUUUAAGUCUAAGCUUUUUAAAAGUCUAGCCUAAUAUUGUCAAAAAGCCUAGUUUAUGCUAAGAAUUUUAAAUAGAAUAUCUGUUCUAUUUAUAAAAAGGCUAAUAAACAUAUAUUUCUUAGAAGAUUAAUAUGCCAAUAAAAUUUUGUAGAGCUUGUAUAUCAAUUUUGUUUCACUCUGUAAGCAUAUAUUGCAUGUAAAUCGAAUAUAAUUUGGUAAGGCCUCUACAUCAAUUGUAUAGAGGCUAUUAGCCAUAUAUGGGCCGAAAAUUUAUUAAUACAAUGGAGGAGUAUAUAUAUAUAUAUAUAUAUAUAUAUAUAUAUAUAUAUAUGAGGAGGGAUAUUUUGACUUCAAGAGUAAGUUUAUAGACUUAUUCCAAAUCUCCACCUUUCAUCUUAUUUUAAUCUAAUAGUUUAAAUGUGAGUUUUAAUUGUUAAUCAUGUGACCAUUUUUUUGGAUCUCAUUCUUAUAAAUAUUUUCUCCAUUUAAUCUCCCUUAUUAAUUAAUGUAAUAAAUACCUCCCCAAUUUUAUUUUAUUUUUUGGCGCACCUUUGCCAAUUCAAAAAGUGUUUUUUAAUCUUUUUCUCCAACAUUAGAGCAAGGUUGCAGUUUGAAAUAUAAAUUAAAAUGUAAGCUUUCCACUCUCACCUCUUGAACCUAUGGAUGAGAAGAUUUUUUUUAUUGAAAUGUAAAUCAAAAAGGAAAGAAAUGAGAUUGAGAGCCAUCAUGUAGAAUUGAGGUUGGAGUGAAACGGAGAGCCAUCACUCUAUAUCCUAUUGUGAUUUAUAUGAUUAUCCAAUCAAAGAAAUUGGGUGUAUACAAAAUCAAUUGGGUGAGUUAGGGUACAAAGCAUUAGGAGGAAAUUUUGUUGUUUUCUGAGAGUUAAAAUAAAUAAAAAAGUAAUUAAGGGAUAAAUGAAAUUUGUUUUAUGAGAAUAAAAUAAAAAAACUUAAAAGUGUGUUUAUGAGAGAAAGGAAAUUUGAUUUAUGAGAAUUAAUUAAGGGAGAAUAAUUGGAGAAGGUAUUUAGAUCCACAAAGAUGGUCAUAUGAUUAACAAUUAAAACCCACAUUUAAGCCAUUAGAUUAAAAUAAGAUGAAAGGUGGAGAUUUGGAGUAAGUCUAUAAACUUACUCUUGGAGUCAAAAUAUCCUCUCUCUCUCUCUCUCUCUCUCUCUCUCUCUCUCUCUCUCUCUCUCUCUCUCUCUCUCUGUAUAUAUAUAUAUAUAUGAGAUAUGAGAUAGAAUCCGUUGACACUUUAUAUUGACACCAAAUCAUAUCCCUUGAUUUCAUUUGAUCCAAUAGCUCCUAUUAAUUCACUUAACCUUGUACCUAUGUGUGAUGCACUGAACCACACCGUCGUCUUCAUUCUCACGUUAUACGUACGCCGUCUGCUAUCUGCAGUUUUCGUUCAUCUCUUCUCCCCUUGCACACCUUCACAAAUGCUUCAUCUAUAUUAUGUGUUGCUCCUAUCGAAAUUAAAACCCACUAUUCAAUUAGUGGUGGAUAUGAGUUAAAACCUUGUACGCUAAUUCUUCAAAUGGAUCCUCUAAGAUUAAUUCCUCAAAUUUUUUGAUUAGAUUUAUGAAAUCAAUAAUAAUUGGAUGACGUUAGAAAACCGAUGGACAUUAUUUAUUGAUUUGCUUCAAUUUGUGCAAUUUUAGGUGAGAAAAAGAAAUUGCAUAUCAGAAUGCAUAAUAUAAAAUAAAAAAUUGUGGGUUUGGUAAAAUGAAAAACUAUGUAAAUUAAAAUGAAAACCAAGAGUUGUUUCCUUUGUUUGGGUAUGGACAAGGAAGUAGCCAAGAUACAAGAGACAACAUUUUUCCAUUGUUGUUCCUGUAUACUUUGUUCAGCAAGAUUGAAAAGGAACAAAAAGAAAAUAAGAGUGCACAUUACAGUGAAAAAGGCCUAUGUUAGUUGAUUUAGUAAAUAAUUAUAAGCCUGUUACAGUGAAAAAGGCCUAUGUAAGUUGAUUUACUUUUUUUAUUCUGAUCUAUUUAAAUUAAUGGUUUUUUUAAAAAGCUUGAAUCUGACUUAUUUACUAAACAAGCUAAACCGGUCUGGGUUUUAAGUAAGUCGAGUUAUAAGCCCCUAACAAACGGUCUGGCUUAUUUUAGGAUUUAGGGUUUACCCAAAUGAUCCCUCCACUUCUCCCUUCAACAUAUAUAGCACAACAAGAAUCAAAACCAAACCUAACUCGUAAGAAUUCUAUAGUCAUUGCUUUUGCCAACGUCUCGUACAAAUAAAGAAUAUCAAGAUUUUAUUUUUGGUUAAUAAAAAGUAGUAAUGCUAAAGGAAGAGACAACCCCAAAAAAAUUAGCUCUAAUAUUUAAUGUAAUACUACUAUGCAUGUAGUAGGAAUAAAUGGGAAACGUAUGCUCUUUUUUUUUUUUUUUGUUACCUGGGAAACGUAUGUUUGAUUGUUUAUUGAAUAGUAGAAAAUUGUUGUAAAGGAAUUCUUUUUUCGACGUUAUAAAGGACUCUCUUUAUGCAUCUCCAAUAAACACUAUCUAUACUUUGUAAAAAGAAUACAAAAAUAAAUGUGAGCAUUGAUAGGGAUAUGAUAGCAUCUAGGAAUCGGGUUCCACCUUAGUUUCUUCUCCUUUAUCCAUUACUAACAUAUGAUUUAUGGUCAAUUUUCAACCUCAAAGAGCAUUCCUUUAAUAAAUAGUUUCCCGUUUUUUUUUUUAUUAUUUAAAUAAUCGAUUUUCACAUCUAUUUAGUUUAUUUCUCUAAUUUUUUCAUCAUCUUAGUGCGACGUUAUUUUGUUUGUCGUCUUUGUGUGACAUUGUUUAUCUUUAUUGUCUUGUUUAGAUGUUUGUUUCAUUCAUAUUGUCAUAUCAAGUUUGAUGCAGUGCAUGUUCAAUCAAUGAUUUAAAAAUUGUCAACGUUGUUGUGAGUUUGUUCGUGGAUUCAUCAAUUUUGUUUUUAGCAAAUUCAUAUUGUAUCGGUGUACUCUAUCAAUUUGAAUGAAUAAUAUCAUUUAUUACUAAAAAAAAGUACCGGGUACAAACUUUAAAUUUUCCGUUUAGUUAUCUUAAAGUGAAUUUUUAGCCACUAAAUUAUUUUAUUAAAAAAAAUCACUAUAUAUAAUGAUUAAAAUUAUAAGCGUAAUUUCAGGAGUGAACAUAGACCUUUAUUCAAAAGGGAAUGAACAUAGACGUAUAAUUAAAGGAGAACGAUAUUUCAUUGUCAUUAAUUUGUUUAUUGUCACUACGUGAAUAUUUUCUAAUUAUUUCGUGGGUGACUGCGACUGAGUCUAUUCAACAAAAAACAAAAAUCUACCGACUAAGUCUUCUUAUAAUUCCAAGACAUCGACUUUGAAUUUUUGAUACAACAAUGACCCAAUCUCACCCAAUCUUAAGAGUACUAUCAUAAUUCAUACAAAAUAGGUCAUAUUUUUCGGUCCUUAAAUAGGUCAUAUUAUAUUUUUCGGUCCUUAAAAAAAAUUGAUAUUUGAUUUUUUAAAAUUAAAUUAACAAGGGUAAAAUUGAGAUAAAAAGUGAUAAACUGUAAGUUAUAAGAUAUUUGAAGCAGCUUAAGAAAAAUGGUAUAAGCUCGAAAAAGAAAGUUAUAACUCGUGAGAAAACUUGUUUGCUAAAAAAAUAAAAAAUAAACUCGUGAGAAAAAAAAUUGUUAACAGACAUGUUUUAUCUUAGUCAUAUGAGAUCAUAAAUUAUAAAUUAUUUGUUAUAAGUGACAUUAACCCAAGAACAAUUUCGUAAUAGUGUAUAUAAAAUAAAAUCAUUAAUUAAUAUGGUAAUUCAGAAUAUUUUGAUUGAUUUUGGAUGUAAAACUGUUUUGGACCGUUAAUCUACCACUAUUAAACUCUUAAUACAUUACCAAUUUUUGUUAAUAUGCAAUUGCAUAAUAAAUUAUUUGUGAUUAAGAUAUCAACUGUUAAUUUCUCAAUUUACUGAUUACACGCUUUAGAAGAAUAAGUAAAUUAGCAUUUUAGUUCUCGGAAUAAUAAAGGACAAAUUAUUUAUUCACUAAAAUUUGUGAAAUAAUAAUUAAUCAAUUAAAUAAAAUAAUACUAUCAAUUAAUUCAGUUCCUCAUAUCUUAUGAAAAAUAAAUCAUCAACAUUUAUAAAAGAUUUGCAUGUUGACUUUUUUAAUUUGUAAAGUUCUAACAUAAAUAACGUGGUAAUUUGAAGUUCGAUAUAAUGUUAAGUGAAGUAUGAUAAAUGAUUGUUUUAAGUCAUGAUUCGAACUCAGUUUUUUUCGAACAAUUUAUCUUAAACAAAAGUUAAGUGAGCACUUCAGCUCAACCGCUCGACUGAAUUAUAUAUUAAUUUAUGUUUUUUAUACAAAAAUAAACGAUAUUCAUUCAUUUAAAUUGAUAUAGUACAUCGAUACAAUACGAAUUUAAAAUUGCUAAAAACAAAAAAGGAUGAAUCUACGAACAAACUCAGAGUAUCCAUGUUAAUAGCAUAAAACGGUAGAGUAUAUAUGCCUACAAAUAUACCUAUCAAGCCACUGAAAUACUCAUGUUUCGGAUCUGCAACGUUGACAAUGCAAAAGUCAUUGAUUGAAUCUGCAUUUGAUCAAAGCUAAUCUUUCAACCUGAAUCAAAUAAAAACCGCAUUAAGACAUGAAUAAAAAACACACCGCACAAAGACGAGAAAUCAAAAUAAAUAAAGUUGUGCUAGAUGACGAAUUCACAAAACCAACAAAAGAAAGGUGAAAAUAUGUGAAAAAUUACUUAUUUAACUAAAAGAGAAAGAGAAACAAUUCAUAGGGGUGAUUUCGUGUCAAAAUUGAUAGUAAGUCACACCUUUUUGGUAGAUGAAGAAGAAAAAAAGUCGUGUGACUAGGGUUUAGGAAAGGAAAAGUGAGAGAAUUUCUACCUUAUAUAAUUGAUUUUUUUAUGUUUUAAAACCAAGACAUUUUCUACACGCGACUACGACAACUAAUCUCUCAAUGUAAACGAAAUUCAUCGUAGAAGUUGUCAUCUCUCAAUAUAUAUUAUCUAUACACAAUGAUCAACAGAUUAAAAUAAUGACCACAUAGCCGAGAGACUCAAAUAAAUAUUCAUCAAUUUUGUUACACCAUAUUGGUAUAUAACUUUCAACUAUGUGGUGUUAAAGUCUGAAAACACGACUAAUUAACUAAUACACUUUAAAGUACUAAAGUAUUACUAUUUAACGAAUUUUAGGACCCACCAUGACACCAUUGCAAUAAUUUCAAUUGGAAAAAUAUUUAGCACCGUUUGGUCAGACUUUUUUCGGUCUAAAAAUUAUUUUAAAACAAAGUUAAAAUAAAACUCUUUAAGGAAAAAGUUAAAGUUGUUUGGUUUCUUUAUUUUUUUUAGUUUUUUUUUGAACAAGCCAAAAUGGAAUUAUAUAAACAAAAAGGCAGUCCCAAACGCACAAGGUGUGCCCUAGCGACUACCUCCAAAACCAAGAGUUACAAGAAUUACAACCAAGCCACAACAGAAAGACAUUAGCCAAUACCCAAACAAACAAGAGGGUUUGACCACCACUGCUGAGUUCCAAAAACAAAGGUAGCUUUUUUAACUUUAAGUCAACCUAAAGACAACAUCUUAAUCUUAUCUAAUAAACAAGGGAUGGGGGUAACAACAUGAUUAAACAGACGGUUAUUUCGUUCAUUCCACACAACCCAGGCACAAAGAAGCCAAAUAAGUUGCAUAAAAGAACGUCUAGCAACACCACCACCUGUCAAAUGAGUAAACUGUAAAAAAUGAUCGGAAAUAUUAUAUGUGUCCACCCCAUAGCAACCAAUCCAAUCACGCACCAGAUGCCACAGAGAGCCAAAAGUAUUACACAAUAAAAAGAGAUGUUGCACCGAUUCAGGAUGACCACAACCAGUAACACACGAGGACAUGUCAUGCGACAACACCCGUCUAGCAAUCAAAUUAGUCCUUGUUGGUAAACGAUCUCGGAUGAGCCUCCACACGAAAACGAACACCUUCAAGGGAACCUGUUUGUGCCACACCAAAUCCAAAGCAUAGUCCGCUACCUGAGGAACCUGAGAAGUCAACAAACUAUAUGCACCAUGAACAGUGUAACCACCAGAUGGGUCCGGAAGCCACACCCAGCUAUCUGAAACAUUAGGAUCCAAAGAAACAUCAAGAAUUAAAGCCCUGCACUCCUCUAGCAAGUCCUCAUCCCACUGCCAUAACCUACGUCUCCACCUCCACACAUCCCCCCACUGCUCCGAAUCAACAGAAAGCAAGUCCGCCACGAAUAUAGACUUAUUCUCUGUUAACUCAAACAACCGACUAAACCUCACACGAAGAGGAGCCUCCCCUAUCCACCUAUCGAACCAAAAUGAUGUAUCUGCCCCAUCACCAACUCUCCUCAACACCUGAUCCUCAAACCAGCCGCUACCACCAACACCAACCCUACCCCUAAGACGACUCACCUCCGACCACCAACAAGAAACUCUCCGGCCCCCAACCUGCCACCUAAUUCGCCAUAUCUGGCAACUAAAACCCUAUACCACAAAUCACCUCUAUCAACCAACAACCUCCAACACCAUUUCCCUAACAAUGCUAUAUUAAACUCCUUCAAUCUCCUCACCCCCAAACCGCCACACUCCUUUUUUAAACAAACAGUUUGCCAACUUAACCAAGAUAUUUUCCUAUUAUCCUCACUCCCCCCACUGCUCCGAAUCAACAGAAAGCAAGUCCGCCACGAAUAUAGACUUAUUCUCUGUUAACUCAAACAACCGACUAAACCUCACACGAAGAGGAGCCUCCCCUAUCCACCUAUCGAACCAAAAUGAUGUAUCUGCCCCAUCACCAACUCUCCUCAACACCUGAUCCUCAAACCAGCCGCUACCACCAACACCAACCCUACCCCUAAGACGACUCACCUCCGACCACCAACAAGAAACUCUCCGGCCCCCAACCUGCCACCUAAUUCGCCAUAUCUGGCAACUAAAACCCUAUACCACAAAUCACCUCUAUCAACCAACAACCUCCAACACCAUUUCCCUAACAAUGCUAUAUUAAACUCCUUCAAUCUCCUCACCCCCAAACCGCCACACUCCUUUUUUAAACAAACAGUUUGCCAACUUAACCAAGAUAUUUUCCUAUUAUCCUCACUCCCCCCCCCCCCCCAAAAAAAAAAAAAAUUAAUAAACAAAGAUUCAAUAGAGGAGAUUAUACCUGAUGGAGCUUUGAAGAAGGAAAGUGCAUAGACAGGCAAAGAGGUCAGGACAGAUUUGAGAAGAACCAAGCGACCACCAAAAGAUAGAAACCGACUAUUCCAACCUGACAGUCUAGAUUUAAUACGAUUCACAAUAGGUUCCCAGAAACACAAUCUUCGAGGAUUACCACCAAUAGGCAUACCCAGAUACAAGAAAGGAACGUUACCUACUUUACAACUCAACACGGAAGCAGCCUCAUGUAACCAAGACGACGCAAUAUUCACCCCAACAAGCAUACUCUUAUGAAAAUUCACUUUCAACCCCGACAUAGCCUCGAACAACACAAGGGCCGCCCUUAAAGCACGAACAUUAGCCCAACUUUUAGUUCCUAACAACAAAGUGUCAUCAGCAAAUUGGAGGUGAGAUACAACAACCGGAUUAACCACCCCAAUGCUAUAGCCAGAGAACAGUUGAGCCUCAACCAAAGAUUUCAUCACAACAUUAAGACCCUCCGCGGCCAACAAAAACAAAAAAGGAGACAAAGGGUCACCUUGUCUUAACCCUCUCAUCAACGGGAAUUCAUCAGUUGGACUUCCAUUAACUAAGACAGACGCUGUGGCAGUGCUAACACACUCUUUGAUCCAAUUCCUCCAACGGGAAUUCAUCAGUUGGAAUUCAUCUUUAAAAGUUGUUUGACAAAAUAUUGUAUACCAAAUUUUGUUAUAAGAAUAUCAUAUUUUUGGUGUCAUUUAAAAAGAUAAGAAUUUAUAUUAUAUGAUAUUAUAUUUGUUACAUUGUUGGUGUCAUUGAAAAAGAUAUGUUUAGUUUUUUAAUAAGAAAAAGAUAUGCAUAGUUUGUUACAACAUAAAUGUGUAAAGUAUAUAUAAGUAUAAUUUUUUAGGUAUCUAUACUAGUACUUUUAAUUAAAAUCAAAAUUUUAUAAAAAUAAUAAUUGUACGCAUUGCGCAACACUGAAAAAAUUAUACCCAUUAGCAUAACAAAAAAAAACAGACAUACAGACAUAAAAUAUUACUCUAAACGCUAAUGUGUGUGUGUAUAUUUGUGAGGUUGAAAAAAGGGAAUAAAAAUAUUUGGUGUCAUUCAAUGACAGCAUGAAUAAAAAUAUUUGUGAGGUUGUGAUAAUUAAACGAUAUUAAAAUUAAAUAUAUAAGUGAUAAAAAGAUAAUAAAACUCCUUCAAAAAUAGAUAAUUAAAUUGAUCCUCCUUUAAAAAAAAAUUAUAUGGACCGGUUCAAAAAAAAUUAAAUUGAAGAAAAAACAAAUUGAAAUAUAAUAUUAAAAAAUAAAAUAUAAGGUUGCUGCGUGAGUUGAAGAGGAGUGCUUGUGAAAUAAAUUACAAAGAAGUAGUUUUUUGAAGUAGCAUUCAACAACUUUUGGUUAAAGCUCAUUCCAUUCAAAUUUUAUGCAUUCUAAAAAAAGUACUUUUUUUCGAAGGUAUUUUAUUGAUAUUGUGUUUGGCGUAGCUUCUCCUUAAAAAUGUAGAAAAGUUGAAGAAAAAAAAAAAGUCGGGUCAAACAGUACUUUAAUAUACUCAAUUAAAGUUACUAAUGUACUGGCAAGUAACUUUUAGAGGAAGAUUUUCUUUUUUUAAGGAUUUUAGAGGAAGCUUAGCAACACACUUUUAAUAUACAUUUUUCUAGAAUUUUUUUUUAUUGAUUAAAAUUCAUAUAUAUCCUCAUAAAUCAUGUGGAUUUCAUAUAAUAUAAUAGAAGACACAAAUUUUAACCGACAAAUAGAGUGUAAAAAAUAGAGAAAUGAUAUUUGUACAACCACUUUGUGAUAAUUUUUGGACAAUUUUCUCUCUCAUACUCAUAUUAUAUUCUUACUCUCUUCUUUUUUCUCUCUCCAUUAUUUUUGACCAAUGAAAAGAGAGAAAAGAAAGAUUGUCAAAUAGGUUGUACCAAAUGGUUGUUCAAAUAGGUUGUACCAAAUGGUUGUUCAAAUAUCAUUUCUUUAAAAAAUAUAAGCAUUAAAGAGUUUGUUGUUAACAUUAUUUUAAUUUUUUUUAUGUAAUCCACACUUUGAGUCAUGGAGUGCUUUACUAAUUCAUUUUGUUUUUCGCAACCCAAUUCAAGAUUGUCUAGAAACAAAGAGGACUGACCUAAUAAAUAAAUAUUAAAAUAAGCUACUUGAGCUAAACAAUGAGAUUUCCAAACAAGGUAGGUCCUACUCAAGUUCUAUAAAUAGCAUCCCUCACCAUGUCAUAAACCGCAUCACAAGUUAUAUACUAGUUGUAUUUUUAUUAUAUACUUCUCCUUUCAUUUUCUUCUUGCAUAUUAAUCUUCUUUAUCUUAAUAUAUAUCAUGGGUGUUUUUACUUUCAAUGAUGAACAUGUCUCAACCGUGGCUCCAGCUAAACUAUACAAAGCUCUUGCAAAAGAUGCUGAUGAAAUCGUCCCAAAGGUGAUUUCUGCUGCCCAAAGUGUUGAAAUUGUUGAAGGAAAUGGAGGACCAGGAACCAUUAAGAAGUUAUCCAUUGUUGAAGGUAAUUAAGAGCAUAUACGACGUACAAAUAUAUAAUACUUAAGAUCAAAUGAUACAUAGUGUUCACGUAAAAUUGUUUUACACCGACAACCAAUCAAAUUUAUCAGUACAACAAAGAAUUGUGUAACUACCUUUUAUUUAAAAAUUGAUAAAUAUGAUGUGACAAAUUGAAGAGUUGUGAUUGAUUAAAUGAUUCACAAAUAACUAAGUUAAAUUCAUUAUACCAAAUAAAAGUAAGUUAAAUUCAUUAUACCCAAAAAAAAAAAGUAAGUUAAAUUCAAGUGUAUCAAAAAAAGUCAUUCAAAUCUAUUUGGAUAGUUAUGGUAGUAGCCAUUUAUGUUAUACUUUUAUUUUUAAAAUAG
rnacentral:lncRNA from 1 species